AAAGUCCCGCAAGGGAUGAGUAGCGUGGCAAACGGGUGAGUAACGCGUGGGUGACCUGCCUUCGAGCGGGGGAUAACGUCCCGAAAGGGACGCUAAUACCGCAUGUCAUCCUGCCGUUGAACCGGUGGAGAUCAAAGCUGGGGAUCGCAAGACCUAGCACUCGAAGAGGGGCCCGCGUCCGAUUAGCUAGUUGGUGGGGUAACGGCCCACCAAGGCGACGAUCGGUAGCCGGCCUGGGAGGGCGGACGGCCACACUGGGACUGAGACACAGCCCAGACUCCUACGGGAGGCAGCAGUGGGGAAUUGUUCGCAAUGGGCGCAAGCCUGACGACGCAACGCCGCGUGGAGGAUGAAGAUCUUCGGGUCGUAAACUCCUUUCGAUCGAGACGAACGGCCCUGGGGUGAAUAACUCCGGGGAGUGACGGUACCGAGAGAAGAAGCCCCGGCUAACUCCGUGCCAGCAGCCGCGGUAAUACGGGGGGGGCAAGCGUUGUUCGGAAUUACUGGGCGUAAAGGGCUCGUAGGCGGCCAACUAAGCCAGACGUGAAAUCCCUCGGCUUAACCGAGGAACUGCGUCUGAUACUGGAUGGCUUGAAUUCGGGAGAGGGAUGCGGAAUUCCAGGUGUAGCGGUGAAAUGCGUAGAUAUCUGGAGGAACACCGGUGGCGAAGGCGGCAUCCUGGACCGACAUUGACGCUGAGGAGCGAAAGCCAGGGGAGCAAACGGGAUUAGAUACCCCGGUAGUCCUGGCCCUAAACGAUGAAUGCUUGGUGUGGCGGGUAUCGAU
rnacentral:rRNA from 1 species